rnacentral:tRNA from 1 species
GCGCCUGUAGCUCAGUGGAUAGAGCACCCGCCUUCUAAGCGGAUUGUCGAAGGUUCAAAUCCUUCCAGGCGCG